AUAAAAAAGUGAGGGAAGGGUGGAAGGAAAGGUGCUUCAACUUCUGCUCUCCCUGCCCGGCAAGGGAUUGCAGUGGCUUAGAGCUGCGAGCGAAGCGAGGAGCUGCGGGGCUCAGUUGAGGAUCUGUGUGUGACACCAGGGAGGACAGUCUUAAAUUAACGGGAGUAUCAACAUCUGUGACCGCUGCAGCAGUAAUUCUGACAGGACCCUGACAAAGUGCUUCACCAAGCAGGAGUGAGGUGACAUUGAUCCUGCUUCUGCCUCUUUG
rnacentral:lncRNA from 1 species